CAGUUACUUUCUCCGUUCGAAAUUACUUGUCGCGAAAAUGAAUGUAUCUAGAUGUAUUUUAAUUUUAGAUACAUCCAUUUUCGAUACAAGUAAUUUCGAACGGAGGAAGUAGGAG
rfam:Triticum aestivum genome assembly, contig: Triticum_aestivum_CS42_TGACv1_scaffold_033317_1BL